UACGUAGGGGGCAAGCGUUAUCCGGAUUUACUGGGUGUAAAGGGAGCGUAGACGGCAAUAUAAGUCUGAUGUGAAAGGCCGGGGCCCAACCCCGGGACUGCAUUGGAAACUGUAGAGCUGGAGUGCAGGAGAGGUAAGCGGAAUUCCUAGUGUAGCGGUGAAAUGCGUAGAUAUUAGGAGGAACACCGGCGGCGAAGGCGGCUUACUGGACUGUAACUGACGUUGAGGCUCGAAAGCGUGGGGAGCAAACAGG
rnacentral:rRNA from 1 species